rnacentral:lncRNA from 1 species
GUUUUUUCUGUCACCCAAGCAUCAUUUCCCUGUCUCAUAUUUACCUUAAGUGAUCAGUUGACCGCUGCUCCUUGAGCUGAGUGUUCCACUAUGUGUCACAGUAAAUGGCAUACAAUGGCUGCUAUUUACUGAGGUCCCUCUGUAAAAUUCUUCUUCCUCCAAGAGACACUGGGGAGGAUGCAGGAACAUGAGGUAGGUCUUGCCUCCCUUUCCUGACCCAUCUCCUACCUUCUCCAUACCUUCACUAUAACUUUGUAUGCCUAUUAAGAUGUCACUGACAAGUUAGGCAAAAUAAAGGAAAUCACAAAAUAUGAGGCUUAAAUUAGCUUUUUCAGAGCUCAUGGAGAGAUUUCCCCCAAAGUGAAGGCCUCUAUGAGGGAGUAAUUCUGUUCUGAAUCACAUUCAUCAGGACUCAACUAAUCCUACCUUUACUCUGAGAGCACCAUCUUCAAGGCUCCAUCUACCUGUCAAGAAGAAAGCUUUUAUUAAUACCACAAUGAGAAAACAGCAAUAGCCCCCUCCUCCCAAAAUAAUGCAUAUAAAAAAUGUGUUGCCUGUCUUGGUGGUGGCUGAUGGAAAGAGGGCAGUUCUAGUCACUGCUUCUGCCCAGGGUCACCUUUGGGCAUGCUCCUGUCUGAAUCACUUGCAUUGGUGUGGGGGUGGUAUAUCUUUCAAGACUAACUGUACACAGGAAUACUGGAGAUGGCAGGACUCUCCAAACAGUGGACCUACUCAUAACAUGCUAAACAGGGAGGCGGCAGAUGGUUUCCUUAUUGCUCUACUGGAACACUCCUGGUCUUCUUGUUUAGAAGUUUCUGGACAAAAAGGCAAGAUAGUGCUUCAAGUGGUCAAGAGGGGCAUCAGAGAAGGGUCAGCAUUGGAAAGCAAAGGUCAAGAGUAUUUUACUGGGAGUAAGAAUCCAGGUGGGAAGUUCAAUUAACCUCAUGUCAGCUGUCUUCACAGAGUGACUGCUAAGUGCAGGUCCUGUGCUGCUGCCCUGGAUCACAGCCAGGGAGAGCAACCAGUAUGAUAAUAGAGCACACACUCCUUAAUGGAGACAUCUCCUAGGCACGUUGGGAAAGCCAACACGGAGCAGGUGAGCAGCUAUCCAUCCCAGAGAAGCCAGCCCCUGAACCAGGAAAGACAGGGCAUCAGUCGGGAGACUGGCCAUGAAGAAAACCUGACAAGUUUCCAGAUACUUCCCCAUCACAGUAUUAGAGCUGUGUACUGGCUGGGAAUACUCCCCCAGGGUUGAGCCCAGGAAGGGUGGUGUGGAGGGGCUGGGCAGCUCGUUCCUGAUUCCUGCAGGGACUGGGGUGCCCUACCCGGAGAUUCCAAACCCAGGGGUUGGUAUGUCCUGUUUCUUUCUUGGCCUCUCUGCUGCCUCAUACUUCAUGAGCCCCUGAAAACUGGAUCAUGGAGGUAGGGCCCUGCAGCACCUAGGUCCCCCCUGGUGGCCCCCUCCCCUGGCCACAUUCUCUGUGGCCCUGCCGGCUUUCUCCCAGCUUCACCUUUGUUUUCAUAGUCUGUUCCUCCCUGGGCUUGUUUGUAUAAGCAACCCUCUCUCCCCGCUUCCUGUGUCUCUGUCGUUUCCUCCCAUUGCCACUCUACACGGUGGCAGUGAGGGCCAUUGUUUUUCUUUCUAACCGCAAUUCUAGUCCCUGAGAAGGGCAAGUAGGUGCGUGGAGGAAGGCAGGUCUGCAGGCCGGUUGACCAGCCUCUGGGGCACAGUGGACUGUGGGAGUUGUGUUUACUUGUCAGUUGGGAAGGAAGAAAUUCAAUAUCAGGAGACAGCUUCUUGCCAAUUAAUCCUCAGACACUACCUAAACGAAGGCACGUUCCCAGGAGUUAAGGAAGACAGGCGAGGUCUCAAAGUACUGAUAGCCAUCUUCACAAAAGGAAGCUAGGUGCCAUUCACUUUCUGAUUUUUUUUUUUUUGACACUUCUUACUGCGUUUAAACUACCUGAAAAAUUGAUCCAGCCAUAUUUAUUGGGGAAUUAAACAGAAACCCCAAGCCAGGUGCAAAACACGCAGACAUCUAUUGAGAAAUGAAUUUUCUUAUAGCUCUAUUUGGUGCUCCAACCUAUUAUCCCUUUUGAUCAGCCCCACAAUCCACUCAACCUCCACUGUGGUGUAGGAUAAACUACUUCAUGUUUUCUUGGCAGCGCUUAAAUUAGACAGGUUCUCACAGGAGUUAGGAUCCUGGGUUUUCUGAGCGCAGGGAGAAGGCACUGAAAAAGCUGCUCACCUGGGGAAACAGAACGUGAUGCCUUGUUAUUUACAAUGAAAGGCCAAUGCCUGGUUUAAGCGCUGAUUUCCAAAUAUAAAUAAGAAGAACACCGUGGCCCCAAAUAACAUUGAAGGACAAAAUGAAUAAAACGUGGCUCAGUUAUGCAACCCCAAGCUCUGCCUGUGCAUAACCAACAAAGUGCACUGAGCAAUCUUUGACAUAUGACUUCAGCUUGAUUUUCCUAAGAGAUGUAUUGAAACACAUUUGUUUUCUGAGCAUCACCUAGCAGAAGUCUGUGGGUCUAUUUUGGUAGCAUUUGUCCCAUAAAAAAACUUUCAUGGUUUUUGCCAGCUCCUUUCAUUACACUUUUCCUGCCAGUUAUGACACUAUGGGUCACUCAUCAAAGAGAUUUUGUUUAUUUCAAGUUUUAAAGGGCAAUGUGGUUACCAGGAACAUGUAAACUUCCAGGUUUUUGUUAGAGCAGCAGAAAGUUAUAAAACACUAACGUAAUAGAAACAUAUCAAAUUCCCUAUUUCAAAUGAAGUUGUGGUUUUCAUUAAAGAUUAUGAGCAUGCCUACUGCCACCCCCCUACUGCAAAGCUACUGAUUUGGGGGCAUGGCUUAAAUAUGAAUCAGUCCCUAUUUACCUUUAAAGAAAAGAACGAAUCCUGCUAUGUAGGGUUGGGAGCAAAGUCGAAUUUGCAAAAUCAUUUACAAAGAUGCCCCUCCACAGCACUAGCCCCGCUUAGACAUUUAUUUAAAAGAGUGAGGGAUCCCUCCCUUUUUUAAAUGAAGGUUUCUUUUUUGAAAGAGGGUAUUUUUCAAAGAUUCUUAUAUUAGGAAUUAUUGCUCAUUACUUGGGUUUUAAAUGAACUCUAGAACAUACUAAAGUAUUUAAGGAUGAAAUGAAAUGAUUUUCUAUUCAAAAUCAGUAAAGGUGAGUUGGUAGAGGCUUAUAAUGGCUGGGAGUAGUGAGUGCAAGAGGGUUAAUUAUAUUAUCAUGUCUACUUUGCAUGUUUUGACAAUUGAAAAAUAAUUUAAAAAUUAAAAACAGUGAGAGGCAAAAAUAAAUGUGUUUUUCUUCAUAGACAAUUAACUAUUAUUACUUCUUCCUUUAGUUUCUCUAAUCAAGUGAAACUUACCUAACAUGGAAUUGUCUUGUGGCUGAGAUGAGAAGUGGUGUAAUCUUUGGAAAUACAAAAUUCUGAGUUGGUAUUUCAUUUUUCAGCUAAUCAAGAAAAGACAUGCAAGUCACAUAACUGCAUACAAAUAAUUUAUCAUUAUUAAAGCAGUUAAUGAAUCAAUCUAAACAAUUUCCUAUUCAGACUUUCAACUUGGUCCUUCUUAGGCUAAGGGUAACUUCUUCCUUCAAAAGUAUUCCUUGAAGAUCUGUAGUGAUAAUAUUUGGAGAAUCACCAAUUUUCAUUAUUUUAUAUAUUUCUAGGUAAAUUUAUAGAGAAAACUAGAGAACUAACAGUAUUGGUGAAUAAAUCCAGCAAAUGUGCUUUUCCACCUCUGGCUCUACAACAAGUAUCACACAAGUUUAGAUGAGAGUGUUUCAUAUUUGCUUCAUCAAGAAGGAGAAGCCCCUUGCUCGUGGCGAUGGCACAAGCCUGUAAUCCCAGCUGCUCAGGAGGCUGAGGCAGGAAGAUUGUGAAUUCAAAGCCAGCCUCAGCAAAAAUGAGGUGCUAAGCAACUCAGUGAGACCCUGCCUCUAAUAAAAUAUAUUAAAAUAUAAUAAUAAAGGGCUAGGGAUGUGGCUUAGUUGUUAAGCACCCCUGGGUUCAAUCACUAGUACCAAAAAAAAAAAAAAAAAGCAACACUUUUAGGAAAGAAUAAAAGACAUUUUAUGUCCAUCCUUGUUCCAUGAAAAUCUAUGUUUUCUGGAACUAUAUCUAGGACUCCUAUAGGUGUUCUUUCUUUGUGUCUCUGAGGAGUGUCUUGAGAAUCAGGAUGCACAAUCCAUAUCACAAUGUCUCCUUUCUAGAACAUCUCAUUUUCCUGUAUUUAUCUAUUUUAUCCAAAUUGUACUUACAUGCAUGUAAGUAAAAAAAUAAUUAAAUAAUGAAUAUCUGAGAUUAUUUUCUCAUUUUCAAAGUUUCCUGUGAUGAGAUCCUCAAAACUUACAUUGCCAACAAGUAGACAGGGGCAGAUGAUCAGUUUCAUUAGGAGAUACAAAUGAGGGGCAGAUAACAUAAAUUGUUUUUUUUUUUUUUUUUUUUGGUGUGUGUGUGUGUAUGUAUGUGUGUUUUAAACAAAACAUUUAUGGUAUUUAGAGUUCUUUCCCAGAGAGGAUUCAAAAACCAGGCUUUGGCAUGGCGAGGGGAAAUACCUCACUUUAGUGAACACAAUAUUUAUAUUUCAGGCCAUUCAAGAGACAGGCUGCCCACUAAACUGAGUUGAAAUAGAAAAGAAUCCUGCCUCUGUGUGGGUUAAAUAAAGACCACAAGUUAACACACUCGGCCUCAAAGAUUUAAUGAGCCUCUCCCCAGACACUCAUUCUACUUAUCUGGAAUCUUAAUCCUAGUCUGCACCUUUUGAUCAGGCCAAACUCCAGACCAUGGGUUACUUAUCGAAGGGGCUGGAAUUUGCACUGUGCCCCAUGCACCCAUCUUACUGGCCACUUGUAGGCUGGAUUAUGGGACUAACACUUCAACACUCCACAAGUGGAGGCCUGGGAGUGGCACAUGGUCUCCAUCACAGGCGAGGUGCCACGAGUCAAGUGGGAGGUCAAGCAGAGCACACCAGGAAGCCUCUGGCAGCCUCUCACCGUCCCUAGCUCUGUUCAGAAACAUCCUUCCUUAUUACACAGCACCAGGGUGGUGGUUCUUCUUCUUCUUCUUCUUCUUCUUCUUCUUCUUCUUCUUCUUCUUCUUCUUCUUCUUCUUCUUCUUCUUCUCCUUCUCCUUCUCCUUCUCCUUCUCCUUCUCCUUCUUCUUUCUUAUAUAAGCAUGGAACUCAGUUUCUGAGUUUUCCUCCUCCUCUGCAUGUCUUUCCUGUUCUGGUGGUCUUGUCCUGUUGUCUCCUUGACUUCCCCUUUACUCCAGGAAGCAGCUCCCACCUGUGCUACAAGUCUCCAGACUCUUCUAAUCUUCCAGUCUGCCUGGAUUUCCUGUUAUCAACAGCCAGGCUCCCAAGGUCUCCUUUUAGGGAAAGCAAUAGCCCUCUGGCCUUCAACCCAUUCCCAAGGUAAGCAGGACAUUACCAAGAUGAAUUAGCACUCUCAGAUCCCAGUCUAAUUUCCCAUCAAAUGUGUGUCUUAGCCCCUAAUUCAUUGCUGAUUUAUUUAUUUUUUUUAACAAGUUCUCACUAUGUUGCUCUCGCCAGUCUCAAACUUCAAACUAGGCUCAAGUGAUCCCCCACUUCACUCAGCCUUCAGAAUAGCUGGGACUAUAGGCCCAGGCCAUUGCAAUUGACUGUAAGCUAAAUUAUACAACAGGCUGUAUAAACCCCUUUUGUAGACCUCAUCCCUCAAUUCCCUUGUACUGGCAAAAGCAGAGAUUCCCUGACUGCAUACCCCACCUGCUGACCUUGCAUAGUUUUCUCCUCUAAAAUUUUCUUUCACCUUCCAGAGUAUCAAAACUUUCUUUCCUUGCUCAGCAUUUCUUCCCAUUCUAUACCAAAUUUAACUGUCCUAGGGAAAACAAGUUUCAAAUACUAAUUAACAAAAAGUAAUUAAUAGACAAACAGGGCUAAGUGUGCACUACUUUCCAAAGGUAUUUUCAUAGUGACUUUACAAAUAUUUUUUAAUAUGAGAAUCUCUAUUAUUAUUAUCACUAUUAUUUUGGCGAUAUUAGGGAUUGAAACUAGGGUUGCUUCAACACUGUACUACAUUCCCAAUUUCUUAUUUAUUAUUUUACUUUAUUUUUAUUUUUUGGUACCAAGGAUUGAACUCAAGGACACUCGACCACUGAGCCACAUCCCCAGCCCUAUUUUGUAUUUUAUUUAGAGACAGGGUCUUACAGAGUUGCUUAGUGCCUCACUGUUGCUGAGGCUGGAUUUGAACCCUUGAUCCUCUUGUCUUAGCCUCCCGAGCUGCUGAGAUUGCCCCAAUUUUUUAUUUUUGAGAUUGAGUCUAAGUUGUCCAUGCUGACUUCAAACUUGUGAUCCUCCUGCCUCAGCCUCCCAAGUAACUGGAAUUAUAGGCAUGUGCCACUGUUCAGGGCCAGCACCAGGAUUUUCAAGCACCCAGGGAAAUAACUGACCCCAAAAAAUUUUGUUUAAGGAUAGGCUUCUGUUUUCAUAGAACACAGCCAGUCACUGCUCCAUUAGGCUGCUCUUGAUUGGUUGUUUAUUAACUUCCCCAAGUUCAUCCAUUGUCCAUUUUAGCUUCAUCAAGUUCGUCCAUUGUCCAUUUUAGCUGGAAUUCACCCUCUUCUAGAUCUAGGCAGUUGUCAUUACUGCUGUCCCUCCUCACUGAGGAUAACAUUAGGAUGCACUGGAAAGAACCUAGAUUUUAGAGCCAAGCAGACUUGAGUUCCUGACUCAAAUCCCCCACUUACUAACCUGACAACUUUGGCAAGUUGUUAAUUUUUUGAGGUUUGUUUCCUCAUCUGUAAAAUGGAAAUUUAUCACCCUUCAUUACAGAUUGAAUAAGACCACAGGUACAGUUGUUUCAUACAGUAGUUAUCUUUCAAGAUACCUACCAGUAGUUCUUUGAAUCAUAGUUUCUUAACAAAAUAUAGUGUGACAGUUGUAGUAAAUAUGACUAACUUACUUGUUACUUAACUUCUUGUUUUUUGGUAAUGAUUACUUCAGUUUGUAUCGCAGAAUAGCAAGUCACAGUCUACCUAUUUGCUUUAGGUGCUAGAAAACUCAGAAAGCUAUUGAGAUCAUUUGGAAUUCAAUUUUUUUUUUUUUUUACUUUUUAUGGAUUACUUAGUAUUCCUAUCCUGGGAAGCUUAAAAAUGAGUGAAAAAUGAAAAACUUGAAUGUCGAUACUAUUUUUCCCAUUGAGAUCAAGAAUUGUGUCCACAUUCAGAUUUUGAGUAUAAAGGCUAGUCUCACUUUUAAAUAGUAAAAACAUUUAAUUUUCAUACUCAUCCCUUGAGAAUAUUCACUAUAAAAUAAGGCUCACUCUAAAGAAGUCUUCCUAAGUAACAAAUCUAAAAUUUCCAUCCUUCUUGACAAUUCCAAAGGAUCCAAAAAUAUUCAUGAAUGCUUAAUCUAGCAAAAUAUUGUAUUCUUAUAUAUACUGGAUUAAAGCACACAUUAGGGGAAAAUACCAUUUAUUGAUUUCUCAAGUGAAUCAGGAAGGGAAAAUAAACUUGAAUAAAACUGUCACAGUUUAGUCCACACAAGCAGGGUCUUGAGAAACAUGGUCAAUGUUUUGAAUCCUUGGUCUUCUCCAAAACUCAUGUGAUGGAAAGUUAAUCUCUAAUGCAAUGGUGUUGGGAGGUGGGCCUAAUAGGAGAUAUUUGGGUCAUUAAUGCCACUAUAAAAAGGGCUUCUAGCAGUGGGUUUUUUUUUUAGCACUCUUCUAUCACAUGAGGAUAGAGAGUUCUCCUAUUUGCUCUUCUGCUUCCUGCUUUCUGCAGAUGAUAUAUUGAUCUUGGACUUCUCAAUACAUUUUUGCCUAUUAUAAAUUAUUUGGUUCCAGAUAUUUUUAUCAAAGCACAAAAUGGACUGAGAAUGCAUGGGUAGAAACAGACUAGACCAAGAAACAUAAAAUAUAAGGUGGCCUGGGGUUGAUGUAUUGACAUGAGUACACUCACCUAAGCUUAACACAGUGAUUCUCAACCUUGGCAGCACAUUGGAACCUCCUUUGAAAAUUACUAAUGAUGCUAAGAUCCAUUCACAGAGAAUCUGAUUUCAUUUUUCUGGAGUGUGAUCAGAGCAUCACAAAAUUUUAAAUUGCUCCAGAUGUUUCUAAUAACCCCUAAGGGUAAGGACUACUGCAGAACAGUUUCCUUACCUGGUUAAAGGAGCCAGUAAAUGAGGCUAAAAUACCACAACUGUCCUUGAAAGAACAAGGAGUCCAAAAGCUUAGAGAGAUUGAAUUGUUAGAAUGGAUCUAUUAUGUGCAACCUGUGUAACCACCUCUACUUUCUUUCCCACCUCUUCCCUGACUCAGAAAGAUCCCACGAAGCUUCCCCAAAUAAGAAAUGCCCUGGUGAGAGAAAAAUCAUCAUUCUUAGAAAGCUUUCCAGAGAUGCAUGGUUGUCUCUGUAUCAGAGACAGGGGGACAAAGAAUACUGCUAUGGAAUUGGGCUCCUAAUUUCAAUGGCAAUAAUGGAAUUGAGGUGUGGAGACUUGGAGGGAGUAAUUACCAUAAUAGGCUGCAGAAACAGGGGACAGUGAUCAGAAUGUCAGACCUGCAGGAAUCUGUAGUGGUGACUUGUACAUCUCAGCACUCUUUUUAGAACAGGAAAGAUAAGCAGGUUUCCAGGGUUUGGGCUAAUCCACGUGUAUGGGAAAAUUCCAUAUGUAACCCUUAGGAACCAGCUAGUUCAUUUGGAGAAAUGUAUAGAUACCUUCUCUCACCAGCAACCCUAUCAGAUAUGCCAGAAUCUGCAAAGAGCAAGCAGAGGGCAUUGUUUGAAAAAAAUCUCCAAGUGACACCGCUAUGAUCUUUUUCACCUCUUUCAUAUUGAGAGCAAGAGGGUUAAAUGAUUUUUAUUUAGGGCCUUUUUAUGUCUAAGAGUCCACAACCUUAUGAUAAUACUAAUCUGGUAUCAAUCAAAAUCCAUCAGUAAUUUUUCUCUGAUAUCCAGGAAAUACCAAAUUAUUUUCCCUGGCAUUCAAUCUCCUGUGCAAUAGGACCUAAUGCUAUCAUUCCCAUCUCUUCUUUCGGUAGUCUUUCAGGUGCUCCUCAGCCAUUGUCAUUCAUGACAUGUGUGAAAAAUGAUAUUUGUCUGACAAUCUAGGGUGAGUGGUCAGAGAUGACCACAGCUGAAGGUGGCUCCCCCAAAGGCUCUCACAGCCCCAGUACCUUUCAGGACAUCACAAAGACUGUGGGUUUCAAUGUCUCACAUACCUGUUUCCAUCCAGCCCACUCUUGUUUGCUUCACUCAGGAGAGUACUGCUGGUUGUGCAGUUCUGUGGACACACAGAAAUCCUUCUGUCCAUUCUUAUCCAUUUCUAGUUCUAUAAAAAAAGCUUUACUCACUAUCAGCUCAACAUCUUUGCUUUCCCAUUUCCUGUACCCUACUUCAUGCCUCUCUGUCACAUCCUCUGUUAAGCAGUGGGAACUCCAAGUCUUCCAAGAAGCCUUCCCCAACCAACUCACCCCAUAGUGGGAUUCCUAGUGUGUGUUCCCUGGAGAGUUCCCUUGAUAUUGAAUGGCAACCUGUCUUGAAUCACAACUACAUUUAAUAUGACUUUACACAUUACCAGGUCAUGGCUCCAGGAACUCAACAGUUUUAAGGAGGCACUGCCAACAUACUUUGGACAUUGACAGGGAAAGAAUUCAUUGGAGUGAGAACAAGCCCAAGCAGAAGAGGGAAUGGCAGAUGCCAAGAACUAGUGCAGAAGACUUUUCUGCAAACUACCUUAAGGCAUUCCUGGGGAUUUCCACACCGUCAGCAACAGCUUCUGACAUGCAGCAGUGGUUGUGACAUUUCCAGCCCAAAGUGGGAUUGUUUGGGAAGCAUGAUCUAUUAGUCUGUUUUCUGUCACUAUAACUGAAAACUAUAAACUGGGUGAUUUAAAAAGAAGAGGGGUUUAUUUAGCUCACAGUUCUGGAAGUACAAGUGUAUAAAAUAAGUAAGAAAUAAGUGCCUGUCUCUGGCAUUUGCUUUGCAUCUGGCGAGGGCCUUUUUUCUGGGUCAAAACACAACAGAAAACAUCACAAUGUGAGAUAGCACAUGUGCUGGCUUGGCUCUCAUUCUCUUCCUCUUCUUAUAAAGCCACACAUGCAAUCAUAGGGCUCCACCCUUAUGACUUCAUCUAUUCCAAUUUACCUCCUAAAGGCCCCAAUUCCAGAUAUUUUAGUUAGAUUAAGUUUCCUUCUUCUUAAUAUCCCACAAUGGGGAUUAAAUGUCAACAUGAGUUUUGGUGGAAACAUCUAAAUCAUAGCACAUGGUUUUGAGCUUCUCGAAAUGAGAAAGCCAUAUCUCUUAGCUCUUCAAGAGUAUGUGCACAAUGAAUCUAUAAAAAACUCACUAGAUAUUGCAUAAGCUUAAUUUAAAUGAACCUGGGAGAGAGCUUAUGUUAAUUAACAUUUCUAGUACACAAAGAAACAAAAGAUAUGACUAAAUUAAACAAAAGAAAGAAGUUUGUGAAAAAAAAAAAAGAAGAAGAAGAAGAAGAAAGAAAGUAAAAACUGGAAAGUGCAAGUCCUUGAAGGGAAGGAUAAAUAGCCAGGCCUCAAGAGGGCAAAAGCUAGGAGCUGGUAGAAUCCUUUGGCCACUGUUGCAACUAGCUCUCAGCACCUGGAUAGCCAGCCACACAAGAUCCCAAUUCCCAGGAGACAGUCUCUCCGCUCUAACCUGGUGAGGUAGAGGAGGGCUAAAGUCACAUGGAUGGGGGAUACUGCAUGUCCCCAAUGUAGAGAUGAGGAACAGAAAAAAAAGGAGUAAUUGCCUACCAUGAUGUUCAAGAACUCUAUUUGAUGAACUCUGUGAUUCACUAAUAUUGCAUCUUACUUUUUAGUUUGCAAAACAAUUUAUAGACAUUUAUCUAAUCUAAUUUUAUUUUCAAAUGUGUAAGCUAGAUUUUGUUUAUGUUCUCCUUUCAGACAUGAGGAAGCUGAGUCUCAGAAAAGACCCACUUGGCACAAGAACUGAAAUGCUAUUCUUCUGAGUAUCAACUCCAAGUUUGUUUUGGUCAGCUUUUUCGCUGCUGUGACUAAAGGACCCAACCAGCACAAUUGUAGAGGAGGAAAAGUUUAUUUGAGUGCCGCAGUCCGGGGGGGGGGGGGGGGUGACGAAUAACUUGUGUACUUUGAUACAGCAGGAGCAGGAGCCGUUUAUUGUAGGACAGGAGCAGUAUUUAUACAUUCCACACAGCUUAUCUAAUUAGCAUAAACUAGAUACAUCAGUCAACCAAUAAGGAAUCUCCACACUUAAUGGCUCUCUGGCGUUACUUCACAAACCACUCCCUCUGGCAUUUUGCCAGGCGCCAUCCAGACUUGUUUACAGACUCUAACAUUUGAGGGCUCAUGGUUUCAGAGGUCUUCAUCCAUACAAGGUCAGCUCCAUUCCUCAGGGCUCAAAGUGAGGUUGAACAUAAUGGCAGGAGAGGAUGGUAGAGGACAGCUGCUCACAUCAUGGUGACCAGGAGGCAGAGAGAGACUCCACUUGCCAAAAUACAAAUAUAUACCCAAAGCCAUGCCCCAAUUCCCACCUCUUCCAGCCACACCCUACCACCUCAGUUAAUCCCACCAGGGAUUAAUUUACCAAUUAGACUAAUGCUAUAACCCAAUCAUUUUCCUCCAAACCUUCUUGAAUUGUCUCAUGUGAGGUUUUUGGAGACACCUCACAUCCAAACCAUAACAAAGUUCUCUCCAUUAUGUAAUACUACUCUCUUUAAAAUGAAAAUAUUUUAAAAACAUAACAUUUUGGUCUCAGGUCUGGAUCAAUCUGGAUUAAAUGUAUAUAAUAUUUUCCAAAAAUAUGUAUGUUUUAUAAUAAAAUGAGCAAGAAAUGAGUACGAUCCUACUUCUAGCUCCGUUAUUUGCUAGAUUUUACUUAUGUUAAGUUCAAUACAUUUAUUUAAGCACAUAGGAAUGUGUCCUAGAUAUUAGGGAAUUUUAUAAAUAUAUCCAUCUCAGUCUUCGUACUCACAUAAUUCAAAUUAAGUUAUCUAAGUAAACAGAAGCAGAUGUCUAAAUAAAUAAAUGCAACAGGGAUAUUUUAUAUUUAAAAUGUAAAAUGCAAUUACAUUUUAAUUGCAUAUUAUUUAUAUUGCCUAGACAUCAAGCCUCUUUGGGUCAGGGAUCCUGUAUUUUUUGUAUUCCCAGCCCUAAGUACAAUGUCUGGGACAGAGUAGAUUCUUGAUAAAUAUUUAUGGAAUGAGAAAAUUAAUGAAAAAAAAACAAAUGUACAAUGGAGAUAGCUGAAGGAGGGAUUACUUUCAAUUUGCUUUGUUAAGAAAAGUUACAUUUUAUCAAAGGUAUAGUGAGUUUUUAGAAAAUCGACUUUAAAAAAUUAUUUGCAUAACUAUACUGAAUAUGUAAGGUAAAUUCCUUAUCAUAUUUGUGUCUGGAAACACCUCAGCAUGAUUAGAAGGACACAUUUUGUCCCAGAGAGAGUGCUUUUGCAUUGUUUUAUUGAAGAAACAAAAAAAGGAGAUAAUCCCUUUCUAACAAAAAGAUACUCUAAAAAAUAUGCCUGAUUUAAUUCCUUGAAGACCUGGUUCAAAUCUCCCCUCAACUCCUUCAUUUAAAUCUGACCCCACUCUGAAAACUUCCACUGUAUUAACUCAGUUGACUGUACCAUGGAUAUUGCCCAUGUAGGCCAGUUUUACCAUUUUUAAUCAUGUAAUUUACAGUCACUUUUUCUUUUUUUUUUUUUUAAUUUUUUUUUUUUAAUAUUUAUUUUUUAGUUUUCGGCGGACACAACAUCUUUGUUUGUAUGUGGUGCUGAGGAUCGAACCCGGGCCGCACGCUUGCCAGGCGAGCGCGCUACCACUUGAGCCACAUCCCCAGCCCUACAGUCACUUUUUCAUCCAAAAAUUUAGCAAGUGUAGAGUCAGCUACUGGGCUUACUGUAUUUUGGAAUCCAUAUCCAACUCAAAGGUAAACAGCCUCUAUCAUUUCUCUCCAGGCUCAUUCCUUCCCCACUGGAACAAACACAUUGUUCAUCAGACAUUCAAUAAAAUGCCUGCCAUCUGACACACUGAACUGAAAGUACUUCCUCUCCCAGAGGAAUUUAGUUACAGGGACAGCUGUUGACUUAGUUGGAGCCUAAUGUAGACCCAAGUGAUUUAUUCACUUGAAUACGGUUAUACAAAGUACCAAUGGAACAAAACCUAAGGAAGAUACAGAAGCAAGGGAAAGUCACUUGGAAUGCUCUGCCAUCGGGUAUCAGAUCACCAGCAGUAAAGAGAAUUCUCAAAAUACCUGAAUUUGAAAAGCCAGAGAGUUCUUGCAAGUUUUGGAUACAUGCUGCCAAGCUGCUGUUUUGGAUAUACUUUGAAGGAAAACAUCUUUGGCAGCUGAUUUAAAUGUUUGUUCUUCAAUUCAGAGUUCAUAUUUGAUCUAAGGCCAUGUUGAAAUAUGUAUCCUUAAUUGCAAACAAAGCUGUUAAAACACCCAGAAUGGCCAUAGGGACGUAGUCUUCAGAAGCAGGUCCAAAGGCUCAUCUACAGGCAAAGCCCUGUGGCCACUUUGCAAAACCUUUAAAGCGUCAACUUCAACUCAAAACACAUGGCAGCUUGGGGUAUGAAAAGGAGGCUUUCACUUCCUGGAGGGAAGCCAGGCUUCUAUUGGUAACACUGGGAAGUUCCGCCUGGGGAGAGAUGUGUGGGGAAGGCACAGUGGCCUGUGUGAAACACAUUGGUGGUCUGUCUCUUUUCUCAUGGCUCCAUGUAUUCAUGGUGGAAAUUGUCCUUGCAGUUGGCAUGAGCUGAUAUUUUAUGUUGCCUAAAGACAUUUAGAAACGGUUUCACCCACAUCAUUCAGACCUACACCCCUUUUGUGGGAGUCUGUUAGGGGCCAAGUAAGAUCCACUAAUUAAGUAAAUACUAAUAAAAAUUUAAUUCCUUAAGUGAAUAGAACUUGCAUCCACAACACUGUAAGUCUUAGAUUAUCCAUAAAGAUGAGAGAAUGCAGUGUUCUAAUUGGUUUACGUAAGAUUUAUAUCCACUCCAUAAUAGACCACCAAUUUUUUAAAAAAUUAAAUGACAAUAUACUCACCUCAUAUUAAAUACCAUACUGAGCAAAACCAUUCCUGAUUCAGGAGGCGCCUCAGAGUGUAAAGUGCCUCAGGGUCACCAUUAAACAUGCCGUUUUAAAGAGCUGUAGAAGAAUAAACUCACUCCCCACAGACCCACCCUGGGAUGUUCGCUUUUAAACAAAUUCUUCGCAUUAACUCAGUUACUUGUGAUUUAUUUCUUUCUCAUAAAAUGGAGCUCAGUGCAUGAAAAAAGAAAUCCUAUUGGUUUGAAUGUGGGAAUCUGGAUGUGGGAACUCAGAUUCCCAUAUCCAAAUAUAACCAGCUUUUAUCUAUACAUAUUUUUGCAUAGUUGAAAUGACACUGCACAGAAAAACUAUGUUCUUCUUACACUUAAUUCUCAUGAUUGUUUUUACACAGCCUGAAACUCCUUUACUAACAAAUUGUAAUUGCUACAUAUUAUCUUGAAUACAUUAAUUGUAAUAUACUUGACCACUUUAUAUUUUUGAACAUUUAUUUUAAAUUUUCUGCCAAUUAUCUCUAAUAAAUAUUGUUGUGGUAAUUAGGAUAUUAAUCUUUGUCUGAUCAUUUCCUUAAAUUGACUCCUUAGAAAUGAUUUAUGACCAGUGUUUCUGAGAUUUCUCUCUCUCUACCUCUCUAUGUAUUCGAAUUAUCCAUGGGUUUGCCAAUUUGUCAUCAGCAGUACUUUUAUGUGUUCAUUUUACUCCCCAAAAGCACUGAAAGUUCAUUUUAUUACUUUUUUUCUUCAUUUGAACUUUCAGUCGUACCUCUCACAGCUCUCCUGGAUGGUUGUCUCACUCAACUUAUGUGGUUGCCUGGUAAGUUCUUCUGAAUGCAAACAUUUAAAAAAACAAAAGUAAACAAACAAAAAGAUAUUAUAAAUAUUCACAUGUUCUGAGACUAAAGCUUCUUUACACAAUUCUAUAUGAUUUGGGAAGAAGGUUUUUAUAUAGAUGGAACACACAAUCUCCUGAUUAUCCUCUAAGUUUAAAACAAGUGGAGACCUGUUACGUAUGCUUCAUAUUUUCUAUAGAAGGGAUAUAUAAAAAUAUAUCUGAAAAUCCACAUUCCUUUUCAGAUUAUUAUAUUCAAAUAUGGUAAGAUGAAAAGAGAUGAAAAGUUUAGGGGAAAGUUUUAAGUAUAUAUGUUUUCUAUUUUCUUUGACCAGGUAUCUCAAUGAAGGGAAACUAUGUUGAAACUGAAGAGGACAUGGCUAUCUAUGUAGCUUCUUUGUUCCCUUCUGGAUUUCCAAGUUUCCUAAAUGGGACAGGGCUUCCAGGAAAAGCAACAAAGAAGAUCUGAAAGCAGAUGGUGGUAAUGGUUGCACAGCAAUGAAAAUAUGUUAACACCACAGAAUGUACACUUAAAAUUGGUUCCAAUGGUAAUUUUUAUGUUAUGUAUUUUUUUGCCCCUCUUUCCCCCCAAAAGAGCAAUAGAGCUUUCAUUUUCUUUCCUAUUCUUGGCCUCUUUGAGCCUCCUGCUGUCUGUUAACAACCCAUAUAAUUCCACCCCAGCUCCACAGCUCAAUGGCUGCUGGCGGGAGGGAGGAGAAGACUUCUACUUAUCCAAGGAAGCUAAUGGACUCAGAGCCCUUCUUUCAAAUUAGCAGCUAGGUGAGUAUAUCCACGAACAUAAAUAUAUUUGAAAAAGAGAAUAUCAAAAGAAUUGAGGCUGCUGCUACAUUAUCAUUGAUGACUGGGAGAUAAGGGUGAGGAUUGCCAUUGGAGCCCCGUCUGUAGGUGAAGUCACUUCACUUUGAAUGUGCCUUGCAUUCCAUAAUGGCGAAUUUCUGGAAGCCUAAUAUGUAAUUGAAAUUAAUAAAAUGAAUCAUCAAGAAAUUUUGAAAUAUAAAAUAUGUUAUUAACUGUGGUCACCAUGGAUAUUUAAGUUAGCUGGACUAAAUCUUUCUAUAAUGUAUACAUAGAUCAAAACAUUACAUUGUACAGCACUAAUAUGAAUAGUCAAUUAAAAAUAAAAUAAAUGACUCAUUUUCACAGAAAUAAAAAAAAACAGUGAUUAUAUUUUCUAUUAUAUAAAUAAAACAAAUGGUAUGAAAGAGGCUACAAUUUAGAAUUAAGUUUUUAAUUAAUUGAUUACUCAUUUUCUUGCUGUACUGGGGAUUGAACAGAGGGGUGCUCUAACACUGAACUGCAUCCCUAGUCCUUUUUAUUUUUUAUUUUGAGACAGGGUCUUGAUAAGCUGUCCAGGAUGGACUGCAAUAUGUGAUCCUCCUGCCUCAGCCUCCCAAGUUACUGGGAUUGCAAGUGUGCAUCACAAUGCCUGGUUUAGAACCCAUUUUUUAGUGAUAUCUUUUAAACAUAAAACCAGGCUUUUAUUUAUAUAUUUAAUGCCCAUCUUCCCUUCUACCCUCAAGAAGCUUUUAAGCUCAAUUUACUUCUUGGCAGGAAUUAAAUGAAAAUACAAGCAAGCAGAUGUAAAUAAAAUGUUACAAUAAUUAUAAGAAUGUGUUAAAAAUUAAGGAAAACAUUUUAAGUAUAUGAAAAAUUAAAAAAUAAAGACAGUGAAAAAAAUGUUUGCUUUUUUCCUUUCUCUUUUGUCUUUUUUUUUUAAAGAUCAGAAUAGCCAAGAUGUGUUGAGCACUUUCUCUAAGGCAGGCACUAUUCUGUGAGCUAGCUUGUAUUAACUCUAUACUUCUCACUUGGCCCUGCAGGUGUGACACCACUACUGUUCCAUCUUACAGAUGAAGAGACUGAAAUCCAGAGAGUUUAGUGUUUGCCAAGGUUUGCAAUUAGUUGCAAUGCUCCUACUUGCUCCACUCUAUUGCUUUUCCAGACUGCAUCUAGAACUUUACUCUGUAUUUAAGUUGACCGGAACCUGAAGGAGAAAAAAAAGAUGUAGCUGAAUUUGAACUAUAAAUAAAAGCAUUUGCUGGAUUUUGCAAGCCAAUGACCUUAGUUCAUAUCUAAAG